rnacentral:rRNA from 1 species
CCUACGGGUGGCUGCAGUGGGGAAUAUUGGACAAUGGGGGCAACCCUGAUCCAGCCAUGCCGCGUGUGUGAAGAAGGCCCUCGGGUUGUAAAGCACUUUCAGUGAGGAAGAACGCCUGGUGGUUAAUACCCAUCAGGAAAGACAUCACUCACAGAAGAAGCACCGGCUAACUCCGUGCCAGCAGCCGCGGUAAUACGGAGGGUGCGAGCGUUAAUCGGAAUUACUGGGCGUAAAGCGCGCGUAGGUGGCUUGAUAAGCCGGUUGUGGAAGCCCCGGGCUCAACCUGGGAACGGCAUCCGGAACUGUCAAGCUAGAGUGCAGGAGAGGAAGGUAGAAUUCCCGGUGUAGCGGUGAAAUGCGUAGAGAUCGGGAGGAAUACCAGUGGCGAAGGCGGCCUUCUGGACUGACACUGACACUGAGGUGCGAAAGCGUGGGUAGCAAACAGGAUUAGAUACCCCGGUAGUC